GCACUACUGAGGAGUCCCAUACCAGGAUGAAACGGCCGUCCAGUGC
rfam:Schistosoma mattheei strain Denwood, Zambia genome assembly, scaffold: SMTD_scaffold0005545